rnacentral:rRNA from 1 species
UACAGAGGGUGCGAGCGUUAAUCGGAAUUACUGGGCGUAAAGCGUGCGUAGGUGGAUAUCUAAGUCGAAUGUGAAAGCCCCGGGCUUAACCUGGGAACUGCAUCCGAUACUGGAUAUCUAGAGUAUGGUAGAGGAAAGUGGAAUUCCCGGUGUAGCGGUGAAAUGCGUAGAUAUCGAGAGGAACACCUGCGGCGAAGGCGGGUUGCUGGGCUGACACUGACGCUGAAGUGCGAAAGCUAGGGGAGCGAACGGG